AUGAGGGUGCCCGGGGUGGGCGAGCAGCCCCUUCCGGCACCGAAAUCCCCUGGCAGGCGGGUUCCCAGGGACGCUCGGAGCAGCGGCAGCGUGUGGCGCCCCGGCCGAGCUUGCGAAAGGCUUUGGGGAUCGACGAGAUGCUGCUCUGCGCCUGUCUGGCUCUGCAGUUUCCCGUUGGAUCCUUUUCCUGUAGAGCCGCCGUCAAGGCGAAACCUCAAAGGAGCCACGCGACCGGCCGGUGCAGUGGCGCAUCCACAUCCCUCCUCGUCGCCGGCUCGGAGGACAAGGGCGGCUUUGUGCCCAGCUGCGCACGAGCCGCUGCUGCCCGCGCUGCCCGCCCUUGCUGCCUGCCACAGCUCCAAAAACGGUGCCCCGCUCUCGUGUCGCGCUCAGGCUUCGGUGUGGAGCCAAGCGGAGCCAAGUGGCCGGCUGGGACAGCGGACCAAGCCGGGGAGCGCUGCCGCUGUCGCCUUGGUACCUGCCGGUUCGUGCCGGCACUGCAUCCCGGGACGAGCAUCGCUGAUGGCCACCGGCACUGGGAGGCUCCGAAAUGUCUCCCGCGAAGGCUGCGUGGGGCUGGGAAGGGACCCUCGGGGUCCGCAUCCCGCUCCGCGCGGGUCCUGGGCCCGCUGCAGGGUGAUUCCUCGGGUGCUUUUCCUCUGUUUUGCUCCUAGAGGUGCAAUUUCCUCCGCGUCCUUCGGCGCGAGGCCAGGGAAGGAGGGCGGCGUGGCUGCUGCCGGGGUGGCCGCCCUGCGCCCCUCUGCCUCGGGAGCUGCUUCGGGGCUGCUCUUGCUUUGCUGCUUCCCGUUCCUGCUCGUGCUCCCGGGGGAAGGGGAACCUCGGCUCUGCCUGGUGGAAACCGCCCUGGGGGGCUCUCGGCCGGGGCCGGGUUUGGGGGCGGCCGCGUUCCUGCGGCAGCUCUCAGCGGGAUGCAGGGCCCCCGUGAACCGGGAUGACCUGGGAGCGUGUGUUUACCAGCGCGGUGAGCGCCGGAGCCGCUCGGAGCGAGGAGUAACCUUGGCAACCCCGCUCCAGCCGCAGGGGGAACAAAUGCGCCGGGCGCCUCCGUGCACAGCAGCACCCACCAGGCCGGGGCUGGGGGCACCGCCACGGCCCUGCCGCUCCGGCACCGCGAACGUGGAAGAGGAGUGUGGAAACCUCCCGCCCGCAGUGCCAGUCGGGCCGUGGGAUCCCCCGGUCCCAGGGCGCAGCAGCGCCCAGCGCCGCUCAGGUUUGCAUUGCAAACCCCAGCCCAGCUCGUAUUUCCCCGUGUUUUUCAGCAACCAGAAACCCGCAUGUUCUAUUCCCAGCUGGGUGAACAGCGUGGUGGGGACAAACAGCUUUUGCCUGAGUGUUAAUGUGUUUUGGCUACUGACACCGAGUGUUUGCUAG
rnacentral:lncRNA from 1 species